AGGAUGCAAUCUUUAUCCGGAUUCAGUGGUUUUAGAGGUUGCGCAGGCUUUAAAGCAAGUCAGUGGUGAAAGCCCUGGGCUUGAAUCAGGGAUUGCCAUUGAAACUGUUCUACUAGAGUGUAGUAGAGGACGGCGUAAUGAGUUGUGUAGCGAUUAAAUGCAUAGAUGUAACUCAGAACACCUAUUGCGUAGGCAGCUGUCUAUACUACAACUGACGCUGAGGCACGAAAGCGUGGGGAGCGAACAGGAUUAGAUACCCUGGUAGUCCACGCUGUAAAUGAUGAUCACUCGUUGUUGGAUACUUAGUAGUCAGUGACCAAGGGAAACCGAUAAGUGAUCCACCUGGGGAGUUCGUCGGCAACGAUGAAACUCAAAGGAAUUGACGGGGGCCCGCACAAGCGGAGGAACAUGUGGUUUAAUUCGAUGAUACGCGAGGAACCUUACCUGGGCUUAAAUGCUGGCUGCUUUGGAGGGAAACAUUCAUUUCCUACGGGACCGCCACCAAGGUGGUGCAUGGUUGUCGUCAGCUCGUGCCGUGAGGUGUUGGGUUAAGUCCCAUAACGAGCGCAACCCCUAUCGCUAGUUGCCCGCAUUUAAUGGUGGGGACUUUAGAGAGACUGCCGGUGUAAACCGGAGGAAGGGGGGGAUGACGUCAAAUCACCACGGCCCUUAUGUCCAGGGCUACACACCUGUUACAAUGGGCGGUACAAAAG
rnacentral:rRNA from 1 species